UACGGGGGGAGCAAGCGUUGUUCGGAUUUACUGGGCGUAAAGGGCGCGUAGGCGGUCAGCACAAGUCAGUUGUGAAAUCUCCGGGCUUAACCCGGAAAGGUCAACUGAUACUGUGCGACUAGAGUGCGGAAGGGGCAACUGGAAUUCUCGGUGUAGCGGUGAAAUGCGUAGAUAUCGAGAGGAACACCUGCGGCGAAGGCGGGUUGCUGGGCCGACACGUGACGCUGAUGCGCGAAAGCGUGGGGAGCAAACAGG
rnacentral:rRNA from 1 species